UGAAGCAUGUAUUCAGCGGUGCUGAUGCUAAGAUAACAGAAGCAGCAGCAGUCUCUGCCCUGGCUCCCUCUGCUCCUGAGGAAGAAGCCAAAGAAGAGCAAAAUGCGCAAGAUGACCACAAGCCUGCAGCUGUGGUCACAGCAGAGCCUGAUGGUUCCAAGAGAAUAACAGAAGCAGCAGCAGUCUCUGCCCUGGCUCCCUCUGCUCCUGGAGAAGAAGCCAAAGAGGAGCA